rnacentral:lncRNA from 1 species
UCGUUUGUAUAUACCCUCGAAGUUGACAUUUAUCUCCUUGAUUUUAUGAGCAAUUUUCCAUCGGAAUGCCAAAGGCCUAUAGAAAGAGAAGUCUAAGCACACUUUUGGCAUCUUCUGGCUCCGGAUCUCUCGAUGCAAAUUUUCAUAGUUGAUCACAUCCAAGACGUUAUCAGCAUCAUAAGCAACAUCUUGAAGGUUCUUGAACCAGAGUUUGACAGCCUCCUCGGUAACUUGGCGUUUCCCAGCAUCUUCCAACACUUUUUUGAUCAUUUGUAGCGAAUCACUUAGCUUUCCUAAGUCUUUCUUGAAACCCCUCACCAGGCUCAACUCUGCUGUGGCGGAUGCAAGCAACUUCUCCACUGUGACUUGAAUGGUGGCACUAAGAACAGCAUCCAUUGUCUUGCUUUGGGAUUGUUGUGUGUGUGACUUACUGAUUUCGGAGAGAAAGAAAAGACAAAUAUACUGAAUGCAGUUUGCAGUUGUUUGGUUAUUCUCAAAUGGUUAUGCCAAUUUAUGUUCUUUAAUUUUUAUUCUUUGCUUUCUUUUCUCAAAUGGUUAUCCCAAUUUUUAUUCUUCACUUUUUCUUCACAAAUGGCCAUAGCGAUUUUUAUUCUUUGCUUUCUUUUCUCAAAUGGUUAUCCCAAUUUUUAUUCUUUACUUUUUCUUCACAAAUGGUUAUAGCAAUCUUAUUCUUUGCUUUCUUUUCUAUGCUUCUCUCUCUAACUUUGGUGAAGAUGAUUAUUCCAAUUUCUAUUAGCUACUUUCUUUUCUCUUAUUUUCUGUCAACUUUGGAGAAUAUGUCUAUUCCAAAUUCUAUUGUCUUGCUUCUUCUUCUUUUUUCUCUCUCUCUCUCUCUUUGUUUCUUCACCUUUAUUCUCCAACUUUAAGAGUAUAUCAUUGUCCUCAUUUCAAUUAUAUUCUUUUUGUUUUUCUUCCUAUGAUUUCUCUCUCGAACUAUGAAAAAUAUGGCUGUCUCAAUAUCAUUUUCGAUAUUUGUUGUCGUGCUAUGUAGUUCAUCCAUAUAAAAAUAUUUAUUGAAGAGAGGGGUUCUUAGUCUUAAAUUUACUCAAUAUCAUUUUCUGAAUUGUACUACUAGGAGUCAUUUCUCUUUCAAUUGACAAACUUCCAUUUUUUUUUUCUUUUUCUUACCAGACAAGAAUUUUUUCUUCAUUUCCCUAAUAGAACUUUUCUAUUUUAUAAAUUUGAAUUAAACUCAACAAUCUCGUCUAUGGUCCUAUGGAUUAGAAAAAUUAAUAUAAAAGGAGGAAGAUAUCUCAACCUAACCUCUAGAAUUAUAUGCAACAAAAAAGUGUAAGUUGUAAGUCAUAAAUAUGGGAAGACUUCUAUUAACAGAUCUUGCACAAAAUUAAAUUUGCAAGUACUACUUGUGUGAGUGAAUGAACAACUACAGUCUACUUGUAUUACACAAUGAACAUAGAUGAGAACAAAUAAGAUUGGAUAUCCAGGAACUCAUUUCUAAGAAGUGAGUUAUUUAUACCAAGCAUUCUUCUUACGGUUAGAUCCAAUCUCCUAACCCUUUUGUUCGAAGUUUCUUCCUUCGUACCGAAUUUCCUGCAGAAGCAAAUUCAGAUCGACAGGAUUUUUUUAGAAUUAUAUUGGGUGAUUCUAGUCUAGGUUGAUGUGAUUUGAUUCUUAAAAUACCCAAAAAAAAAAAAAAAAAAAAAAAAAAUCUAAAAACAUAGAUGCCGAAAAGUCCAUGUUGGCUAGCACCAAAGAGAGAGAGUUUUUAUUUGACAAAGCAUAUGAAAAGUGAGUUGUAUUAUAUUAAUCUGAAAGCUAUGAUAAAGAGCAAGCUUUUCUUCCUCAAGGAAGUCUCGUUAGACAUACUGACUUGAAGAGACUAAUUGUAACAUAAUACUCGUUAAAGAGCAAUCUAGCUGCAAAACUGAUGUGCAAUAACUCAAAAAAGAGUGAAUAGUAUGUUUUAACCAUGGUUUGACACAAAUUUGGUGAAAGCCUAUUACAAAUCUCUUAAUGACUUUGAUUACUGCCAAGCGUUUCUUUAGUUUCAUUUCAAUACACCACACUACACCUCGAGCAUGAGAAAAUCAAAAUUCGUGGUACAACCAGAGUUCAUUUCUUUACAAUGGAUUGAAAAGUGCAAAAUUUUCAUAAUUGUAUACGUGUUGGUAAGACUUAAACUAAAUAUAUUUGUCGACUCUGAUACUUCUUGAUGCUUUUAGGUGUGCAUGAGAUCCAUAUUGAAAUUCUUCUACAGGUCUAGUCUUCACUCAUAAGGAAAAUAAUAUUUGAUUUUGGAACUAUUAAUUGUCUCUUGAUUGAAUAGAUCGUCUCUUGAUUGAAUAGAUCGUAACAUUCCCGAAUCUCUGUUUUUGAAUAUGAAAUGACAAUAACUAGUCAACACUUAAUGAGUGUAUUCAAUUGAGACUUUUAAUAACUUUUUGGGAUUUAAAAAGUUUAGGAGUAUUCAAUGUAGACUUUUUGAAAUUCUCUAAAAAUAUUGAAAUAUUCAAUUGAGACUUGAAAAAAGCCUUAAAUGCAAAAGUUUUUUGUUAGAUUUAUUAUCGAAGCUGACUUGGGAAAAUGUGAUUCACUUAUUUCUUUUUUAAUUUUUUCAUCUUCCAUUGAAUACAUGCCAAGUGUUGUCUAUAAAUAUUUUCUAUCAAAAUUGUUUGUACUUAUAGCAUGAUUGUUGAGACUUUUAAGAAGUCUUUAAAAGUCACGAUGUAUUCAAUUGAGAUUUUUAUAAACUUUUAAAAAGUCUUUAAAAGUUACUGUGUACUCAAUUAGAACGUUUUUAGAAAUCUCUAUAAGUUUCAGGGCAUUCAAAUUUUAAUGACUUUUAGAGAUUUUUAUAAAAGUUUUUGGAGUACUAACUUUUAAGCAGAAAGUACUUAUAUAAAAUUUGAAAAUUUUUCUAUCAUUAAUUACAAGAUUUGGGAGAUUUUUUUUUCCAAUUUUUUCUCCUUUUUUUUUCUACAAAUAUUAGACCUAUGAACAAAAUUUUAUUUUAAUUAAUUAUAUAUAUUUUCAUUUAUCUUUCUCUCUCUCGUAUUGUUUAUCUCUAUUUUCUAUGAAAAAGUUAAAUUGGAUUCUUGUAAUUUUUUUUCUGUUUUCAUUCAUUUUUGUGAAAAAUAUCUAUUUUUUUAUUAAAUUAUAAAAUUUUAUACAAAAAAUUUAUAAUUAAAUUUAAAUAUAUUGAUUUUUAUUUAUUUUAAAAGUAUAUUAUAUUAAUAAUAUUGAAUAUUAAAUUUAUUGUUUAUAUAUAUAUAUAUAUAAUUUUGAUUAUUAUUUAAUUAAUUAAGGUCUUGAAUUUUUAUGAAGGAAAAGGGAAAUUGUCAAAACCAGCACCUCAUAUGUGAGAAUUUCAUACCAUUGUAUUAGAUCCACGUGAAUUUUAUUUAUAAUGAAAGUUUUCAAAAGUCGUUUAAAUUCUACAAAAAUCUAUAAAAAUUCUAAAAUGAAAGCCCAUUGAAGUUUAUGAAAGAUUUCCAUAAAUUCCAUACAAACUUAUAAAAGACCUAUGAAAUCCAAAGAAGUCGCCAUUUAAAAAAAUCUAUCAAAAUUUUCAAAAAUCCUAAUUGAAUACACCCCUAAAGUGAGAGCAAAUACAUGCAUUCAUUGAGGAAAAAAAAAGGAGAAGAGGGAAAAGACUAGAUGAGCUCCCCUUGGUUCACUACAACAAAAGUGGUUUUUUACGGCAUUGAUUUACGGCGUGCAUUUUAUGCACGUCGUGAAAAGUAUCCUUUUACAGCGAUCGAAAAAUGUGUGCCGUAAUUAAUUAAAUGCUUAAAGUAUUUAUGGCAUAAAUGUAGGAUAUGCCGUAAAUAAUCUACAAUUACACAUUUUUAUGACAUGCGUCAUGAACGCCGUUAUAAAUUACACCUUUUAUGGCGUGCAUCGUGAACGUUGUUAUAGACGCACACCGUAAUAGCCGGCCCAACACAAAGUAAAAUUAAAACCCGCCAAACACAAGCCCAAUCCUUAUGAAAUUAGGGAACUUAUUGUUGCAUAUAACUCAUUCCCUCUCAAUCCCUCGUCCCUGUCAAUCUCACGCCCUCUCUAUCUCAAUAUCGAGCAUCGACACCAGCACCGACAAAUCUCCAGUCAACGGUCAGGUUGGCAAUUACACCCUAAGCAAGAUUACGUGCUGUUUAAUUGCCCAAAAUUUUCCCCUCGUUUUGCAUUUCGUUUUGCGACUUUUGCUUCAGGUAUAUGUGCUGAAUUUUUUUUUGCUGGGUCUUAUAAUUAUGCAGAUUGAGGUGGUUGUAAUCUUGUCUUUCCCUCUUUAUAAUUCCAAUCUUUUACUAAUUUUUCACCUUCUGAUUGCUGAGUUUGAUUUUCACACCGCCAGAAUCUGCACAAUAGAGACACGGCAGUGUGUGGUUACUGGUUAGUUGCAAAUUGAAUAUAUAUGGUUCUUGAUAAGUUUAUAGGGUUCUUGAGGUGAGGGUUAUGAGAACUUAAGUAAUAAGUCUCAAUAUCAAAUUCCACCCUAAAUGUUGAGAAUAGGGAUAUGGGUUUCCAGAAAAAAUUCAAUAACAUGGAAUGUUGCUACUGUGACAAGACUGGCCACAUGAAGAAUAAUUAUAGAGCACCAAAGAAGAUGGGAGAAAAGAAUAACAAUAGUGCUAAUGCGGUGACUAAAGAGGUCCAAAAUGCUUUACUCUUNNNNNNNNNNNNNNNNNNNNNNNNNNNNNNNNNNNNNNNNNNNNNNNNNNNNNNNNNNNNNNNNNNNNNNNNNNNNNCAUUCCCUCUCAAUCCCUCGUCCCUGUCAAUCUCGCGCCCUCUCUAUCUCAAUAUUGAGCAUCGACAAAUCUCCAGUCAAUGGUCAGGUUGGCAAUUACACCCUAAGCAAGAUUACGUGUUGUUUAAUUGCCCAAAAUUUUCCCCUCGUUUUGCAUUUCGUUUUACGACUUUUGCUUCAGGUAUAUGUGCUGAAUUUUUUUUUGCUGGGUCUUAUAAUUAUGCAGAUUGAGAUGGUUGUAAUAUUGUCUUUCCCUCUUUAUAAUUUCAAUCUUUUACUAAUUUUUCACCUUCUGAUUGCUGAGUUUGAUUUUCACACCGCCAGAAUCUGCACAAUAGAGACACGGCAGUGUGUGGUUACUGGUUAGUUGCAAAUUGAAUAUAUAUGGUUCUUGAUAAGUUUAUAGGGUUCUUGAGGUGAGGGUUAUGAGAACUUAAGUAAUAAGUCUCAAUAUCAAAUUCCACCCUAAAUGUUGAGAAUAGGGAUAUGGGUUUCCAGAAAAAAUUCAAUAACAUGGAAUGUUGCUACUGUGACAAGACUGGCCACAUGAAGAAUAAUUAUAGAGCACCAAAGAAGAUGGGAGAAAAGAAUAACAAUAGUGCUAAUGCGGUGACUAAAGAGGUCCAAAAUGCUUUACUCUUUUCAGUUGAUAAUCUUAUUGAUUUUUGGGUGAUGGAUUUAGGAGCUUCUUUUUACACCACUAUAUAUCCUUAAAUUUUGGAGAACCAUGUUAUUGGGAAUUAUGGAUAUGCAUAUCUUGCUGAUGGAGAACAUAUGGAUAUUGUUGGUACUGAUGAUGUCAGUUUGAGGAUGUGUAAUCUGAUUUUAGUUUGACAACUGAUAAUAAAGGUCAUAACGUCACUUUGUUGCCUGUUUUCGGAAAGUUACUAACGAAACCAUGGUUAUUGCUUUAAUUCAGAACUCUUUACAUCACUUCCAAUUGAAAAGAAAUGGUUGCAACUCAGCCAUUAGUUUUGAUUUGUAACACUGUAGGCUGGGACACAUAAUUGAGAACAAAAUAAACGUACAUUAAAAGUAUUUAUAUCCAAAGUUGAUUGGACCUAGGGCGUAACACUUACAAUAAGCCUAUGAUCAAGCCUUAACUUAACGAUGGGGAAUAAAUGUGGAUUGUUAACGUAAUUUAUAAUUGCAUGCUUAUUAGUGUGUCACUUAUUUUAGCAUUCAAGAUUAUGUUCUUUUAUUACUUUUCUACAACAAAUGAAAUAAUUUCCUCUCUUGGGAUUUCAUUAUCUGUAGCUGGAUUUGUCUUUCGUGCAUAAAUGAAUAUGAACUUCCUCUCAUUGUAGCUGAUUUAAAAUACAUUAAUUACAAAGCUGCAAAUAAUAAAAUAUAUGCAAUUGUUUUCAUUUUAAAAUCCAUGGCAUCUUCGAUUAUGAUAAUUUAUCACAUUUUUUUCUUCGUUCCAUUCUUAUUUCGUAGCAGGAAUAUGAUUGAAAAGCUUAUUGCCCUUAAGACUGAGUGAUCAGUAAUGUGAUUAUAAACCAAAAAAAGUAAUGUUGUUGAAUAUUAACUAGAAAUUUGUGACACAAGGAAAAAUUUCAUGCUAUAAGAGCGUAAAUAAUUGGAGCAAAAGUUUAGAUUUUGAACUUCGUUUGCCUGAUGAGAUGCCAGAAUUUAUGAUUUAGGUCUAUUUAUGCUUCCCUAAUUUGAUAGAUCAACGUGACUAUACAGACAUAACGGAUCAUGAUGGGGACUCUUCAUAUAAAAUAUGAAUAUUUUCUAGUAAAAUUUGUAUCGUGUAUCACUAGAUUAAGAUCUUAAUCUAGCACAAGAGAAAUGCAAUAUCAUGUUUUCAGUUCAUGCAUGCCGACUUUUGAUCUUACCAUGAGAAAUUUCAUUGCAAAUGCUGUGAUGUGGAUUAUUAGAUAUCUGAAAGGUGUUCACCAUCUUUGAAUUGUGUUCACACACCGCAGAACAUCUUUAUCUACAUUUUCUUGAAGCUUUCAUUUUGACCACAUUCAUAAAUACGAGAACUUGCAAUCCUUUUAAUUUUAGCUUCUUCCAUUCAAAUAUAGUGCGUACUUAUUUUUGGGCAAAUUGCUCCACUAUUUUUCAAUUGUUGUUCUAUUUGGUGAAAAACUAUCAACAUAGGCUUUAGCAGCAGACGAAGCACCUUAGCUACUAGUGUUUCAGCAAAGUAACUUGGCUUCUUAUAGGCCAGCCAAAUUCUACAUGCCUUACAAGAAACCUAGAAUUGAAAUUCAAGACGAUGAGGAGGUGUGUUUCGUGGUUCCUGAUCUUGGAUUAAUCUAUCGUCACCAACUUAAUAUAAUGAAUAUGUGGCAGAAUAAAUCAGAUCAUACACCUUUUCUCCGUAGAUAUGCUUAUAUAUUAGUUACAAUCUUGUUUGCUUUUUUUACUUCUCCCUUGUUUGUGAUUGCAAGAAUUACUGAUUUGGCAUUGGAAUUAAUUUGGCUAAAUGAGUGCAGAUCUUACUUCUGUAUCAGGCACAAAAAUGCAUGUUGGCAUUUGUGAUUUCACUGUUUCUUCAUUCAUUAAUAUUUUCUAGUUACAACUCCACAUAAAUUAUGGUUAUGAGUUCUAAUGUUGGCAUUUGGAUCUUCAGUGGUUGCAAAUGCAAUUGUUCAUCUUGCAUUUGGUUACAUAACAACACUUACUGUUGACUUAGCUUUUCUCAUCGAGGGUCAAACUGAACCAGAGCUCACAGAAAGAAUCUUAGGAGCCGUUAGAUUUUUUUUCAGCUUAAUGCUGCUUCAGCAAGGCAUAUUGAACUGCAUUCUGAGAAGAGCAAGAAGUAUGUACCAUCGUCUCUUCCAACAAGAUUUUGGAAAUGACUUGGUCAGGGCUUCUCCCAACUUAUUAAGCUAGGUGGUCAAGAAAAUGAGUCCAACUCCCAUGCGGCACAUGUCAAUGGACAAAAGUGCUGACAAGUGACAAGUUAUUGGUAUUACUUUUUGGACACUCGAUUAAAUUCCUAAUGAAAAAGGAGCAUUAUAUUAGCUAGCAUACUCCUACAGUGUAUCAAGUUACUACUAGAUUUCAGAAAUUUGACUCCCAGCUUGAAGAAAUUAUUGCAUUUCUGCUUUUAAGUGUGCAUCAUUGCUAGUAGCUGGGAAAUGUAGCCGAUAAUGACCCACACCAACAAAAUAAACCUUAUUUUAAAUAAAUUUGGGAUCAGAUACCUGAAACAUAAAAUAACAUUGAAUCAAAUCCUUAACAAACCCAUUUGGCCAAGUUGAUUUUGUCCUUUCUCUCCCUCCCUCCCUCCCUCUUAACUGGUUCUAUUAUAAUCACCUUACACUUGUAGCAAGGAGCUUCUUUAGGUCUAUUGUCUACAAGAUAUUUUUCAACCACAGUAGUCGACCUUCUUUCAAUUUAACCUGAAUUGGUAUCAUGUCCACUAGUCACUAUUUAUUCAUUUAAUAUGUUGUCCAUUCUAGUAUGCAAAUACAACUUCUGGUGCGUAAAUAAUCAAUAACUUCAAUUUGAGCAAGUUUUAAUACUGUCAAAUACCAUGCGAAAUUGUUGCUCAUGCUUUCAUAUUUAUACAAGCCGACUUUGAGUUUCCACUGUUAAAAAAUUAUCUUUCUCUGUUUGUCAGAAUUAUUAAUCUCAUUUAAUCUAAAAUUCAAUAUGCUUCUUGGAUGAUCUAAAUUUGGAUAUGCAUAUAUUCAAGUCAACUUUGCUUAAUACCUGAUUGUUUUCGAUUUGGCAUUUCUUUUGGAAUGUUUUAUAAUAACCUGUCGUGUGCCGAAGAUAACUAUUACCUCAAUUGUACAAAUCAUAUCUCAACUAAUUCAUUCUCCUUCCAAGCAUUUUGAGAUUCUUUUCUCGUGCUAUCCUUUAUAACUUUUGAGUCUUUUGAUUACAUUAUCCUGAUAUUUGUUUCUCAAUCCAUUGGCUUAAAAAAUUCCUCAACCUUCAAAAUUCAGCAUCAAUCGUUCAAACUUAGCGACCACAUACUUGCUGAUAUUUCGUUUUAACAUCCUUAGUCAAAUUUUAUUUAUUUAUUUUGGAGAUGUGUGUUUUGAAAUGAGUGUGGGACACAAUUGUUUUUCAAUAAAUCAAUUUCAAACAAGGACAUAGAGAGGGUCUUUAACUUUGUGGAUGAAGCUCCGGUACAAUGAUUUUUUUGACAUGUAUUCACAUUUUGGUCAAUUACUUGAUUGGGAGUUAAAUUGAACCACCUUAAUGCAUUUUCUUUUAUACCAGUAGAAGAGAUUAAUCAGUUUAUCACUUGCAGGUCCUGGUUGCCAACUGAUAUUGCAUUCCAUGCCCAUUAGUAGAUAGCAAUAUAUUCUGCAAUUCUUCGAAGUGUACGUUGAACCUUCAGCUUCCAUUUUCCCAAUUGCAAGUUGUACUUGCUUCAUGUAUAUUUAUUGUGUGGUAUAACUUGGGGGUUAUCUAGCCCGUUUGAGGGCAGCAAUAUAUCACUUGAUUUUAGCAUGAUUCUUAUGUCUUCAUCGUUAUUCAAUAGUUUCAAAAUUCUUUCAUUUGUAGUUGCCAAAUUUUAGUUCUUCUAAAAGUCUAUUUAUGUUUAUAUUUAUGAAUGACAAUGAAAUUGCGUCCUAUAAUGAAUUCGGUAAUGUUUUUCCCCUUGUUUUACUUUUCAUGUGGGAUGCAAUUUUGGAUUCUACAACACUAUAAAGUAUUACUGGCCGAAUUUUUCUUUCCUUCUUUUCUAGUUUUGUUCAAUAUUCCCUAUAAAAACGUAAUAAAUUUUACCUUUAUUAUGCAUUGGAAUAAGCACGGGUAUGUCAAGUCAGGCUCCCUAAAUUUCUUAUUUGAGAAAGAAAAUACAUAAGACUGAAGAACAAUGCCAUAAAAAAUGUACAAACACACUCACUAGCCACCCUAUAAUAUAUGACUCCAGAACCAAUUAUGAUGACCAGAAAUCAAAGCUAUGAAAGGUUGAUGAUCACAUGCUGUUAUAUGGUUGAAUGUUGAGCAAGAGAAAAAUUAGGGACUGGUUCAGGUUGAAAAAAUGGUCCAUAAAAAAGAGAUGUGAACAUAUUUUUAAUAAAAAAACUAUCAUUAAAUAGACCAUAAGUGAUUUUUUGGCCUUCAAUUUAACGUUUUUCAAUUAACUAAAUGUAUUGUUUGUAUAAACAAUUAUAUUAUAUAACUGUUUGAGCCCCAAUUUUUGUUCAAUAUAUAUUUUGGAAUAGUAUUUUGAUGGAGAAUUAAUGUAUAAUUUAAAAAUAAGAAAAAAAUUUAGAUUUGUGUGUAAUAUUAUUUUAUUGAACAUGUGGUUAAAAAUAAAAGAAAAAAAAUAUAUUUUGAAAAUAAUUGGACCAAACAAAGGCUAUAUCAAAAUAAAUAAUUUGGGACAGGUUUGGAGUGGAGAUCUCAUCCCUUGUUCCUACCAACACGCCUCUCGUGAUAGAAUUUUCUGCUCCAUCCCUAUUCCACCAACCCGAUUAAGAGGGAAAUCUUUGUCCCAUUUGUGGGUGGGUCCUCAUAGGGAUCAGGUCUUAUGACAAAAUAUCCAUAUGGGUAGAUAUAGUGACAAAAUGAAUGAAGAGGACAAAAAAUGACACAAGUAGUCAAUCCCACAUUUAUAUGGAGUGAGACUUAGUUUAUAAUACAAACAAGGUUUCAGCAGCUGGGGUGACUCUUCCAUACGGUGUCAUAAGACGUUUGAGAUUUAUGCUAAUCUAAAAAGCAGUAAAAGUAGCCUCCCAGAAGCGACACCUUAUCACAACAUUUGUUAAAUGACCUGAUAAAUCCGAAGUAUUUAAGUACAAAUGCACAUGGUAGAACAAUAUUUCUCCCACAAGCAAGAUAAGAUCAGUACUGAAAUAUGGCAAUGUGCUCAUCUGCAAGGUUUUAUCGUCCCCUGAAGCUAAGAAAUACACAGAUGGUAUAGAAGAAUCUGUCACCGGAAACUCGCUUGGGGAACAAUUAUAGACUUAAAGAUGAGAAACUCAAAAUGGAGCAAAACUUAUAGAGAAAUCAAAAGAGAUUCAACUUAGAUGAAGUCCAUUUCACCGACAAAAUUGUCAUCCACCCAACAGAAUACCAGACUGCAAUCACUCUCCUAAAAUAGUCUAUCUUGAACUUUUGGAUCAAAACAUGGCAUGUCCCCAGAACUAGCAUUCCUGAAAAAACAAUCAAUACUAAUGAAUAAUGAAGAACACCAAUAUGUGAUAAGCUGAUGUUAUUAUCCUCCAGUGGUGACCUUACACUGCAGUAUCAUAACUUAAACCCACAUGUGAAUACCCAAUGUUCUUCUUCUGUAUAUAGAACCAUAUUGCAUUACAUAUUCCUAUUAUACAACUUGUAGCUGGUUUUUCCCAUAUCUCAUAAAGUAAUGAUCUUCCCAUCUGCACCAACCCAAUUACCCAAACACUCUGCAAGGGAUUUUGAACUGUAAUUUCCUAAAAAUUAUGUCCAAAUAUAGUCCAAUAUACACGAAAACACGAAUCUAAAGGCUCAGUGGUUUCAAAUUAAGUAUGUGAAGAAGCCACACUUAACAAAAAUCAAUAGAACCCACUUCAAGAUUUCCAUAAAUCAGCAGAGUCAGAUUUGAUACAAUCGAUUUUCGUCCAAAAUACUACUGAAAAUUGUGAAAUUUAAAAGGCCUACAAUUACUAGAAAUCAAAAUGAAUUGGGUUACUCAGAGAUUAAACGAUCUACUAUCAAAUUGCUAAAAACUGUAGGAAAUUACUGGAAAUCCACAUUAAUAUCAAAUAACGAGAAGAGUAAUGGAUAAUCCUAUUCUCUUGAAAAAAAGGGGGAAUAAGAAUGUAUUAAAGGUUCAUAAUUCUAAUGUGGCCGAGUCUUUACCAAUAAAUAAUCGUUUUGUGUAUUUCAUUAGAAAUGUGACCUGUUCGUUGGUACUUCAAUAUUCUCUCUAUCUCUCUAUGUAUAUAUCUGUACAUAUAUGAAGAUGAUGGAAUACAGAGGAACAGAAUAAUGGCUAUAUAUGGAGUUUUGUGGAGGUUUUGGGUGGGUGAAGGGAGUGGACAGUGGCCUUAUUCAACUCUGCAGCGUUUUUUCGUAUUGACAGAAAUAACCUUGAGUUAUUCAUUUCUACCAAACUUGUCCGUUGUCGUUUUGCUAAAUUAGGAAUUUAUCACUUAAAAUAUUAUAUAUACCUGAGUGAUUUACGCCGGUGUUACAACUAGAUAUAUUAAGGAUGUUGUGAAUCAGGAUAGUCCUCAAUGUUCAAUAUCUCAUACUGAUUCAUCCUCAAAUUUGAAUUAAAUCUUCAAUGUCAAUUUAAAGUUUGGAGACGAAUCAAAGUUGAGGGAACUAGCCUUUCAAUAUUCGUCACAAUUCCUAUUUUUUGGAAUGUUUUUCUAAUUUUACUUAUUUAGGGAUAGGUUUCUCGAUGUGGAAGUAUUUCUUCUAUUUUUCAUAUAAAAAUAGAGUUUCAUUUAGUAGCAAGUAAAAAAGAAGGCAAAAUAAAUUGCAGUAGUGAGCAAAAAGAGAGCAACCUAAAAGUGUAAAAAUGUGAAAUAGACAAGAUGAUUUGCCAAUUAAUAACACUGCUUAGGCAUAUUUAAUUUAUAUUUACAACAUACAGUUAAACAUUAUAAUGUAUAAUAAAAACAAAUAAUGAAAAGUUAAGUGGUUUUUGCUCAAUUACUUACCAACUAUAUCAGCAUAUCAUGCCUCUUUAACCAUGUCGACCCACUCAUUAUGUUAGGAAUAUGUGAAAUCUUUGACCACUCAGAAUCAGGGCAUCUUUCUUCCUUGUACCUCUUCUCCAACAAUGGACAGUCAGAAACAUAUAAACUUUUUAGCAUGGUGAGACGUUGCAUGGCUUCUUUAGAGGGCAUAUGCCUAAGCUUUUUUAAGUGAUCCAGUCUUAAUAAUUUAAGAGAGGAUAGACCCCCAAACCACUCUGGCAAUGCUUCAAUUCCAAAAUCACCUAAAUUCAACCAUUCGAUCGAAGUGAGAUGUUGAAGCUGGUACGGCAAUGAGUCCCAAUGUUCCCAACCAUAUAAAGUCAAAUUCCGAAGAGAUUUGGAUUGUUGGAUGCCGUCGAGAGCAGCUUGGAAUGAAUUGAAAUCAAUUGAUUUUGAGAAUCUAGCAAUGGAGAGUUCUGUUAAGUUGCUAAGACCGCCAAUUCCCUUGGGUAAACUCCUCAAUUCACAAUUUGCUAUAGAUAAAUUUGAGAUACAAGGCAUUAUCCCCAAGUCUGUAGAAAAAGAAACGAGUUUGUCGCAGCUAAUCACGAGUAGAUACUCCAGACACCUGAUGGACUGAAUCAUUUCACUUGGCAGGCUACUCAAAUCAGAGCAAUUAAUAAUUUCAAACCGUCGAAGAGAAGGGGGACCUUUUUGUCCGAUUUGACAUGAAAUUGAUUGUAGACUUGGACAUCCAGAUAUACUCAAACACUCAAGAGACCGGAAGCUGUGCAGAUCAUCAGGUAAUUCUCUCAAUUUGUCACAAUUUCCAAUAUACAACUUUCGGAGAUAUAUCUGGCUUCCUUUCAAGUGGGGAAGACAAGUGAGCGUUGAUAUAUUCUCGAUCGAGAGCUCUUCCAAAGAAGUUAGGUUGCUGCUACUCAAAAUCUUUGUCAAUGGAAAAUCGCUAUCCAUAGCAUCAAUCUCCAAUUUUUUCAAGCAAGGGAAAUGACUUGGAGAAGUAUUCAAUUUGUGGCAACGUUGAAUCUUCAAAACUUCAAGGCAAGGAAAUACCUGCUCUUUGCAUGUUCGUGUUUGUGCCGUUUCCAUCACCUCAGCUUCUGCCCACUCUGUUAGGUUUGGCAUGUUCCCUAGAGUGAGUUUUUCAAGUUUUGGGAACAUUACUCUUGUCUCUUGGCCACCAUAGAAUGAAUGACCUAUGGAUCUUACGUUAGUCAAAUCCGUUAAGGAAAGAUAUUUGAGGUGUGGUAGGUGGCCAAACAUGGGAAUUUCUUCACAAUUCUUGCAAUCUGUGAAAUUGACCUCGAUCAAUUUAUCAAGUUUUAACCAACCAUUGCCAUCAAGAAACACUUCCAUUCUCAUAGUCCAUGAUGGGAAGUUCAUGCCUCUGAACCCUACAAUUGUCAUGCUCUUCAAAUUCGGGUGAGGUUGGAGCCCUUCGAGGACAUUUUUAUCGUUGUUGUUGUCUUCCGAGACAUUGUAUGUUGUCCACAUAAAACUUAACUUAUAUAUCUUUGGCUUUCCAACCAAAUCUGCCUUCUUAGCUUCUUCUAUACCAUUCACUAGUUCAAGAUUACGCAUCUCCAGUUUGCCUGUUAGAUUCUUCAAAAAUCCUAGCUCUUCGAUUCGGCAGCCUUCCUUGUCACCCACAUUAAAAAACUGCAAUGUUUGAAGACGAGACAAUUUUCCGAUUUUAGGCGGCAUCUGGAAAUCUCUCUCAUAAGAAUAAAAGUAGAGAUGUCUCAAAUUUCUCAAGUCACAUAGCCUAUCUGGAAGCCGUUGAAGUUCGAAGCAUGUCACAAUCCUUCAUGUUUGCAAAUUAUAGAGCUUGCAAAUCGAAUCUGGCAAAGUUUUCAUUCUAUAAUUUCCGGAUGCAUCAAGAUAUCUCAAAUGUAUCAACUUUCUAAUAGAGUUUGGCAAUUCUUCAAUGUCUUGGUCACAUAACUUUAGAAUGUGCAGGUGCUUGAACCAUGGCAAUUUUUUGCCAGGUAAGCUGUUGUUGGAGAAUAAUGUGCGCAAAUAACUUGCUUUCUCUUUUGUGAAUGCUCGUGUUUCCCUUUCUAGCAAUUGCUUUGCACGGUAUCUAACUUUGGGAAUGUCAUCAGUAGAGCUAUCCUCGACAACAAAGCUUUCUGAAUUUGAAACUGAGCAUGCAAGAUCGUGCACAAGAUCAUGCAUCUUGCAAUAUUCGAUAUUUCCAUAAUCAUCCUUUUCAACCUCUUGGAAAAACGAAUUUCGCAACAAAAUGUUAAAACAUGAAUUCCCCAAAUUCUCCAUAUUAUUAUCAUGAUUAUCCGGAAGAAAUCCUUCCGCCAUCCAGAGUUGGAUUAAAUCUUCUCUCUCUAUUUUUGAAUCUUUGGCAAAUAUUGAACAAUAGGCAAAACAUUUUUUAAGUAAUGGAGAAGAUAAACGAUCAAAACUUAUCUUUAAGAUUUGCAUCAUACUGUCGUGAUUUGCUUCAUGAUCAAGAUUUGAAAUCCCGAUCGCUAGAACUGAAUCCCAAUCAUCUACUUGCUUUCCUUGCAAAGUUCCACCGACCAUGUUUGCUGCUAAUGGUAGACCUCCACAUCUGCAAGCAAUCUCCUUCCCAACUUGCUCAAAUUGUCCUGGUACUUCUGCAUCUCGAAAGGUCCUCGCUUUGAUUAUAGACCAGCACUCAUCAUCUUUUAAUUGUUUCAAGUUGUAUGGAUCUCUGUAAGCUUUCACAAUUGAUGCUACCUCUAGAUGACGUGUAGUCACCAUGAUGACAUUUCCCUUAUUGGGGUUAACUCCAGCCAUAGUAUUUUUGAAAUCAUCCCAAAAUUGCCUGUUUUCAUUCCAAAUAUCAUCAAGAACAAGUAAGUAUUUUUUGCCUCCCAAUUUCUCUCGAAGCUUAUCCACAACAGCUUGCCUGCUGGCUCCAGGAGAACUUUCUCUUAAGGAUUCCAGAAUCCUUUUAAAAAGCGUUAUCGCAUCAAAAUUUUCAGAAACACAUACCCAGAUCCUUUCGUCCAAAAGACUCUUUGUGCUUUGAUGAUUGAAGACCGAUCGAGCUAAGGUUGUCUUGCCUAGCCCUCCCAUUCCAACUAUGGGAAGGACUGAAAUAUCCGCAUCGUUUGUGUCGGUUAUCAGCUUCAAAAUUUCUGCUUCAUUAUCCUUUCUUCCCACGACAAUUGGAUCAUCAGCUAUGCUAUCAGUUUCCAUAACCAGAGGCAAAGAGAGAGAAAUGUCAACAACUUUCCGAAGGCCAAGGUCAUUAGCUCGUUUGUUUAUACCCUCGAAGUUGACAUUUAUCUCCUUGAUUUUAUGAGCAAUUUUCCAUCGGAAUGCCAAAGGCCUAUAGAAAGAGAAGUUUAAGCACACUUUUGACAUCUUCUGGCUCCGGAUCUCUCGAUGCAAAUUUUCAUAGUUGAUCACAUCCAAGACAUUAUCAGCAUCAUAAACAACAUCUUGAAGGUUAUUGAGCCAGAGUUUGACAGCCUCCUCGGUAACUUGGCGUUUCCCAGCAUCUUCCAACACUUUUUUGAUCAUUUUUAGCGAAUCACUUAGCUUUCCUAAGUCUUUCUUGAAACCCC